rnacentral:rRNA from 1 species
UACGUAGGGGGCAAGCGUUGUCCGGAUUUAUUGGGCGUAAAGAGCGUGUAGGCGGCCGCACAGGUCCGUUGUGAAAACUGGAGGCUUAACCUUCAGACGUCGAUGGAAACCGUGCGGCUAGAGUCCGGAAGAGGAGAAUGGAAUUCCUGGUGUAGCGGUGAAAUGCGCAGAUAUCAGGAAGAACACCCGUAGCGAAGGCGGCACUCUGGGCCGAUACUGACACUGAGGAGCGAAAGCGUGGGGAGCGAACAGG